UUAUAACCCGCUGUUAACACAACUUCACCAACUAUACAUAUACAUAUAUUCUCACUAACCAUGAAAUUCCCUGGCCAAUCGUCUCCUACACCACCCCCUCGCCGCCGCCAAUCAAAGUCUCAUCACCACCGUCCACGUGGACAGGCCCGACCAAAUCACCACCCCCAGCCUCAAGAAUUACCACCGCCACCACCACUAAUCCAAACCUUUUUCCCACCUCCAGGACCAUUUCUUCCUCCACCAAAUUGGUUUUCGUGUGGCCCUCCCCCUCCUUUCUUUGGUGGCCUUGACAGCUUUGAUCCACUUGACGAUAUUAUGGCGAUUGAGGAGGAGGAGAUGUUAUGUCUUUUUCCGGCUCCAGGGAUCAGACUAAUUUAGAUGAUAUCUGAUAUAGACUUAUGCCUAUAUAUAUAUAUAUAUAUAUAUAUAUAUGUACUUCUCCAGCAUGUGCUUGCUAUUAUAUAUGUGAUGCUAUAUACUGUACCAAUCGAGAAUAAAGUUGAUGAGAGGACUUUCAUCAGUUUGCCUCAUGGUAUAAGCCUCCCGGCAGCGAA